CACAGAACAGGUGUGGGUUUGGGGUGCAGGGAGACAGAAAACAAAGGACUUGACUAGAGAGCCGAGGAACCACGCUGAAGAAGCCUGAACUGAGGCUCUUUUGACUUGCCUUUCCUCUCCAGUCGUCUGCUGAAUGCAUCAGUCCAGACCAGCUGUAGUUCUCAUCAGAGCAUCUCUGGCAGAAGAGGAAAUGUUGGAUUCUGUAAAAAAAAAAAAAAAAAAGAUGAAAACAGCUGAGAUCGGUGUAUAAAAAUACCUUCUUAUAAAGUGGCCUGCUGAUUUAAGUAGCUCAGCAAAUCAUUUAGACACUCACAGCCUGUCCUUCUGGUUCAACAAGACCUCUGAGAUUCACAGGGAGACAAAUUCAAAUAUGUGUUCAUUUGAAUUAUUGUAUCUUUGUGCAAUGAAAUACUUCUGAUAUGAUGACUAAUCCAGAGGAAGUCAUUAUGCCUUACUCGCAUAUAUCAAAUGAUAACUUGCAACUGAAGAUGAAUUUGUACAAAGUUUCCACAUUUUGUCACAUUUACACCACUAACUUCAGUUUGUUCUAUUGGGAUUUUAUUUCAUAGACCAACAUGAAGUAACUUCACUGUGAAGUAGAAGACAGAAAACCUUUAGCUCCAUCCAUAUCCUCAUCAACUGUGAACAGCUUCACUGCUAAAGAAAAGCAAACCAACAGCAUGAUGCUGCCACCACCAUGCAUCAGUGUGGAGAUGAUGUGUUUAGGUGGAUGUUCAGUGUUAGUUUUCCAUUAGUGUUUUUGGCUGAUCCAACCAGAGCACCUUCUUUCACAUGUUUUAUACUUUUACAUGGCUUAUGUCAAACUACAGGACUUUUUUUUUCCACCA